AACGAACGCUGGCGGCAUGCCUAACACAUGCAAGUCGAACGAAGGCUUCGGCCUUAGUGGCGCACGGGUGAGUAACGCGUAGGGAACUGCCUAUUGGUGGGGAAUAACGACGGGAAACUGUCGCUAAUACCGCAUAAGCCCUUCGGGGGAAAGAUUUAUCGCCGAUAGAUGUGCCCGCGUCCGAUUAGCUAGUUGGUGAGGUAAUGGCUCACCAAGGCGACGAUCGGUAGCUGGUCUGAGAGGAUGAUCAGCCACACUGGGACUGAGACACGGCCCAGACUCCUACGGGAGGCAGCAGUGGGGAACAUUGGACAAUGGGCGAAAGCCUGAUCCAGCAAUGCCGCGUGAGUGAUGAAGGCCUUAGGGUUGUAAAGCUCUUUCGGGUGGGACGAUGAUGACGGUACCACCAGAAGAAGCCCCGGCUAACUUCGUGCCAGCCGCCGCGGUAA
rnacentral:rRNA from 1 species